GAUGAACGCUGGCGGCGUGCCUAACACAUGCAAGUCGAGCGAAGCGAUUUAACGGAAGUUUUCGGAUGGAAGUUAAAUUGACUGAGCGGCGAGGGUGAAGGUACGCGUAGGUAACUGCCUCAUACAGGGGAUAACAGUUAGAAAUGACUGCUAAUACCGCAUAAGCGCACAGCAUCGCAUGAUAGCAGUGUGAAAAACUCCGGUGGUAUGAGAUGGACCCGCGUCUGAUUAGCUAGUUGGUGGGGUAACGGCUCACCAAGGCGACGGUCAGUAGCCGACCUGAGAGGGUGACCGGCCACAUUGGGACUGAGACACGGCCCAA
rnacentral:rRNA from 1 species